rnacentral:rRNA from 1 species
UACGUAGGGGGCUAGCGUUGUCCGGAAUCAUUGGGCGUAAAGAGCGUGUAGGCGGUCCGGUAAGUCCGCUGUGAAAGUCGGGGGCUCAACCCUCGAAUGCCGGUGGAUACUGUCGGGCUCGAGUCCGGAAGAGGAGUGUGGAAUUCCUGGUGUAGCGGUGAAAUGCGCAGAUAUCAGGAGGAACACCAAUGGCGAAGGCGGGUCUCUGGACAGUUCCUGACGCUGAGGCACGAAGGUCAGGGGAGCAAACGGG